rnacentral:rRNA from 1 species
CUGCAGCAGUUCAGGAAGAAGAAGGAGAAAAAGGGUCCCGGGAAGAAGGCAGAAGCCGACGCCGACGAGGGGGCUUCGAAAGCGGGUGCCAAUGGGGAGGAGGCCGUGCCGGAGCCGAAGUCUCCUGUUGGGCUGAAGUUCCUUGCCGGGGAGAGUGGCAGCGGCCAUAGCACGCCAUUUGAGGAAGCAACCAUGUCGCAGGAGGAGCAAUGCAACGGCCAGGGGCCUGCUACUGAGGAACCAAGCGUUGUGGACAAUGCAGAUGUUGUGCCUGUACUGGAGGACGCUGAUGACCCUAGUGUGCAGAAUAUCAGUAUCAGUGAGCAGGGGAAUUCGGAUCAUGGAAGUCCUGGGCAAGGAGAUGGUGAUGAUUCAGCAGUUCAGGCUACCAGUUCAGAUGUUGGUGGUGAUCUUAUAGGAGCUCAGCCUGGGGAGGUGGAUGGCGAGAAAAUGCCCAUUUCAGAGGAGAGCAUUAUACCCCAGGUUUCUUCUCAAGGUGACAUAGCCAAUGACGGUAGCAACCAAGUAGGGGGACACCAGGAGGUGCAGAUAGAUCCUGUUGAGAGGACAAGUAGUUCUGAUUCCAAGGAAGCCAUGGAGGUGCCAAUUCCUUCUCUCGGCCUCGUGGCUGAUAAUGCUAAUAUGGGUGAAGAAGGAACUCAAGAAAUGGAGGUGGGUGUUUCUGGGAGGUCAUCAGAUGGCAAUAUACAAGAUGUUGAACCCACAGUUUCUGGCGAAAUAGGCAUGGAGGUUGGGCAUGAAGCAGCAAUGGAUCUUGCAGCUUCACAAGAAAUUCCUGGACGAGGAGACACUGAUGAUGAAGCUAAUGGAGUGGGCAAAGAAGCUGUUCAAGAAGAUGCAGGUACAAGUAACACAAAUGCAAUAGAUGAAGCUGUCACUACACAUGGAUUGGAUUUAUCUGUUGAAAAGGUUGAUUCAGCUUUAUGUGGUGGUGCUGUAUCUCAGGGCUUCAUGCCAUAUCGCCUUGAUGAAUAUAUUCAGGGGCAUCUGUAUGUGAUGACUCUGUCGAGGGAUUUGCUCCAGUUGCAGCUAGAUGAAGGCACCCACCUGAAUUCAGAUGUCACACUGUCUUCUGAUGAAAUUCUCAAACUCCAGGUACAGCUGAAAGAAUCUGAAGAGAGCAAAGUAGCAGCCCAUGAAGAGAUUCAGCAAUGUAGACAUGAGCUCACGAACCUGAAUACUGUUAAGGGAGAACUUGAACUAAUCGUGGCUUCUCAGAAACAAGAAAUUGACGCUAGCAACAGCAAAUGUGAACAGCUGGAGAUCGAGUUGCGGUCCUCCAAGGAGAAUGCACAACAAAUCUCGAGUGAAUUAGCUGACUGCCAAUCAUUGCUGGAAGCUCUACAAAAGGAGAACAUAGAGCUAACAGAAAACCUUGCUCUCGAGGAAAAAACCAGAAAGGAGGUUCAGGAGCAGCAAGAACAUCUGUCUGGUGAAAACGAGAAGCUUCUGUCACAGCUGUCUGAGCUUGAACAUAGCUUAGCUUCUGUGAAAGAGGUAAUGAAUGCUGGCAGUAGCAGGUGCGGAAGUUUGGAGGCUGAGCUGUGUUCCUUCAAGGAGAACAUGGAACACACGUGGACUGAAUUAACAAAUUGCAGGGCUUUAUUGGAAACGUCGCAAAAAGAUAAUGUUGAGUUAUCUGCAGAGUUUGCUGUUGAAUCGGAAGCAACCAAGAAACUGAAGGAGGAUAAUGUAUUCCUACAUACUGAGAACGAGAGGCUUUUGUCAGAUCUGUCUGAACUAAAUGAUGAAUUGCAUCUUUCAUACGCCAAACAUAAACAGCUUGAGUUGCAUGUCAGAGAUAUGGAGACACACAUGGAACAACUGAAAGACCAACUAAUCGAGGAAAGUCUGCGUGCAACUAACAGUUCCGAUAUUUACCAAUCUGUAAUUAAAGAGCUGAAUGCUAAGUGCAAUGUGGUGCUAGACCAAGCCGAGACAGUCGCGUGUCAAAAACAUGAUCGCCUGGCCUCAUCGAAAAUCACUGUUGAAAAUGCUGAAAGAACAAUUACAAGUCCUGAGUUUGUUUGUGAGGGUAACAAUCAGCAUUCUCAUCCUCUAUUUGACGAGAAAGAUUCAAGUAACUGUACUGCUUUGCAGUCACUGAAAGGACAUCUAGAGGUUGCUAAAGGUGAAUUGCAUGAACUUCAAAAAUUAGUGGAGCGGAUGUCCUCUAGGUCCGGUGGACGUGUUCUCGUGUCAAAACUCAUCCAAUCCUUUGAGGUAAAAGGAAACCAGGAAGAAACUGGAAUGUCUGAAGGGGAACAUGAUGAAUUAAAAAAGUUAACUCAGGGGAUGUUAUGCUGCCUCGUUGAAAAAUUCAAGUUGAUGACUUCAGAUCUUGCAAAGGCUGAAAAGUAUGUUGUCGGACUGUGUGACAGAAUAGAGCUUUCAAGUAAGUCUGAAGUGCAGCAUGAAGCAGAAAGACAGCUCACUGCAGUUUUUGAGGCCAGAAUGGAUGAGCUCUCUGAGAAGCUAAGCAACUACAAGAACACAAUUGAUCAACUGCACAUUCAGCUUGCUAACGUACAACAAGAUGCAGAUGAUCAUGCUGGGAAGCUCACUAAUCAGGCAGAACUUUUGCAUAACGAUAUAACAGAAAGGAUUUCAAUUCUUGAGAAGGAAAGGGCAUCUCUAUCAGGUUUGCUCAGUGAAGUUACCAACAAGCUCAGCUCUUUGGUAGGUACUAUGUACCCUAAUGAUUUGGGUGCAAGCGAAGGUCUCGGGUUUAGUAUUUUGGACUCUGUGGAUCUCGCUGCUAAAUCAAUCCAAAGUCUUCAGGACAAAUUAGAGUCUGCUCAAAGCGAUAAUGCUAAACUCAGUACUUCUCUUUCGGAGAUCAAGAAAGCACAUUCUGAUGUUCAAGAUAGGAAUGAACAUGCAUCUAGAAUGGUUAAGAACACGUAUGAUUCCUUACAGGAGUUUCUACUCAACUCGCUUGGAAAUUCAGAUGAAGCAAGUGCAGGAGAUAGUGCUGAGGAGCCAAUUGAAGCUCUGUUUAGUCAUCUUGGAGGAGCCAUCGAGCAGUUGAAGAAUCUAUUGCAUGACCGUCAUUCUUUGCAAUCAAACAAUGCUAACCUGGAGUCAAGAUUGUUGAGCAAAUGUGAAGAAGUUGAAGAAAUCAGCUUGAGAUGCAGUUCUUUAAUGAAAAAUAUGGAUGACAUGUGCUUGCUGAACGAGGAGCUUAAAUUAGUUUCUUCAAGUAAAAGUGAAGCGUUGGAUGAGCUGCAUGGUAGAUGCCUCUCUAUAGCAGAAAAAAUGGUUCAACACUCUGCAGAUCCUACCUCAAUGGUUCUUCCUUUGAUGUCUAAUAGUGGUGAAGCUGAAACGUUCAGCAAGGAGCAUCAUAUUUCUACCACAUUACUGCCAUGUAUUGAGGAGGGUGUAGCUUCAUGCAAUGAGAAACUUGAAAAUGCAGUUGAAAAAAUCCACUUAGCAAAGAUAUGCUUGCAAAAUGCCCAUAUUUUUGACCAAAUUUCAUUUGACAAGUGGUCCUUGCCCUUGCCUGCGUUGAUCAAAGAAGAAAUUGUACCCCAGGUUUGUGACUUGCAGAGCAAAAUGGACCAGCUCAGUGAAUUGAACAUUCACUUAGAGACUGAAAUUCCAGUUCUCAGGGAUGGCUUGAAAAAGCUUGAUGAAGCUCUUGAAACUUCACGUACUGAGCUUCAGGAAAGGUCUUCUGAACUUGAACAGUCAGAACAGAAACUUUCUUCUUUUAAGGAAAAACUUGGUAUUGCUGUUGCCAAAGGUAAAGCCUUGAUAGUGCAACGUGACGGCCUUAAGCAGUCUCUUGCGGAGAAGUCUGGUGAGCUUGAGAAGCUCUCACAGGAACUGGAAUCAAAGGAUGCAUUAGUGAAAGAGUUGGAAGCCAAGCUCAAAUCCUAUACAGAGGCAGAUCGAAUUGAAGCUUUGGAGUCAGAACUCUCAUACAUACGGAAUUCAGCUACUGCUUUAAGGGAUUCAUUUAUUCUGAAAGACUCUGUUCUUCAGAGAAUUGAAGAAGUCUUAGAAGAUCUAGAUAUGCCAGAGCGUUUUCAUUCUAGAGACAUUGUUGAGAAAAUAGAACUGUUGUCAAAGAUGGCUGUUGGUGCUUCUUUUACCUUGCCUGAUGGUGAUAAGAGAUCAUCUAUGGAUGGGCAUUCUGAGUCUGGUGUGGCCAUGGAUAGCACAAGUGAUGAACAGAUCUCAAUAUCAAAUCCAGGGUCAGAUGAAAUAAAGAACAAAUAUGACGAGUUGCAUAGGAGAUUCUAUGAACUGGCUGAGCACAACAACAUGUUGGAACAGUCUCUAGUGGAGAGGAACAGUAUUGUACAGAAAUGGGAAGAAGUCCUUGGUCAGGUUAGCAUUCCCCCGCAGUUCAGAAUGUUGGAACCAGAAGAUAAGAUAACUUGGCUGGGAAACAGAUUAUUGGAGGUCGAGCAUGAAAGAGACACGUUACAUUCGAAGAUUGAGCACCUUGAGGAUUCCUCUGAGAUGCUAAUUACUGAUCUAGAAGAAUCACACAAAAGGAUUUCUGAGCUCAGUGCAGAGGUCAUUGCUAUAAAGGCCGAAAAGGACUUCUUCUCAGAGAGCCUGGAUAAACUGAGAUUUGAGUUCCUUGGACUCUCUGAGAAAGCAGUUCAAGAUGAGUUUGUCAGAGAUAACUUGCAAAAAGAUCUAGCUGAACUACAGGAGAAGUUAGCUGAAAAGGCAAAGGAGAGCAAGCACUAUCAUGAUAUGGAAAUAGAGGUACACGAACUACUUGAUUUGGUGCGAAAUGUGCUGCAGGAUGGUACUAAUGCUGAAAUUCCAUCUGGUGGUGGUGCUGUACUGUGCUUGGGUGAACUUUUGAGGAAAGUUUUAGACCAUUAUGAAACUCUUUUGUCAGAGUCGACUCUAAGCAAUGUUGCCGAGAAGGAAAUUCAUUUAGAUGAAACCAAGCUGUCUAACGACGCUUCUACAUCAGAGACUGGUAGAGAUGACAAAGAGAGUGUACUGAAUACUUUGAGUAAUCAGUUGGAGCAUGCUUGCAAGAGUCUGGCCUUAGUUGAGCAGCAGCGUGAUGAAGCAGCUGAGAAGGCACGAUUACUAAUGCUGGAGGUGGAGAUGCUACAUGCUCAAAUAAACCAAUUGCAGGAAGAUGAUUCUGAGCAGACUCAAAAAUACCAGUCGCUUGUGCUUGAACUGGAAUUAGUGAGUAAGCAGCGGGAUAAUCUGCAAGAAAAGCUGAAUCAGAGUGAUGAGUUAGAGCAUGCUCGCCGUAGUUUGGCCUUAGCCGAGCAACAGCGUGAUGAAGCUGUGGAGAAGACACAAUCACUAUUACUGGAAGUGGAGAUGGCACAUGCUCGAAUAAACCGGCUGCAAGAAGGUGGUGCUGAGCAAACUCAAAAGUAUCAGUCGCUUGUGCUUGAACUAGAAUUAGCGGGUAAGCAGCGGGAUGAUCUGCAAGAGAAGCUAAAUCAGGAGGAGCAAAAGUGCACUUCACUGAGAGAGAAACUGAAUAUCGCUGUCAGAAAAGGGAAAGGCCUGGUGCAACAAAAAGAUAGCUUGAAGCAAACUAUAGAAGAGAUGAAUGCUGUGAUAGAAAAACUUAAAAAUGAAAGGGAACAACUCAUAGAAUCACUUGAAUCUGAGAAAACACUAUUGAUGGGCCGGUUAACUGAAAAUGAGAAGAACUUGCACGAUACAACGGAAUACUUGAGUAGAUUGUUAAAUGCUUUGAGUACAGUGGACAUCGCUCGAGAAUUUGAUACAGAUCCAAUCACCAAGGUUGGAAAAAUUGCACAGGUUUACCUGGACCAACAGGCAACAGUGGCUUCAUCACAAAAUGAAGUGAAGAAAUUGAAACGAGCAACAGAGCUGCUUCUAACUGAGUUAAAUGAAGCUCAGGAGAGGGCCGAUAACCUGCAGGAGGAAUUAGUCAAGGAAGAAGCUGCACUUUCUGAAUCCUCUAAACAGAACAAUGUUAUAGAGUCUGCAAGAGCGGAUGCUGUUCGCCACCUUGAACAUAUUACCUAUAUGCAGGCACAGGCAGCAAGGAAGCAAAUAGAUCAUUUGAAGGAGUUGAACUCUACCAGUCGUCAACUAAGAGAGGUCUGCUUUGACCUUUCACAUCGCCUCGCCAGCGCAUUCAGCAAAGAUGUGGACCUUAUCAGCUAUAUGGAGAGCUUCAUGAAAUCUUCUGGUAAAUGGAUGGAUGGCACAAAUAUGGUGGACAUACCUAUCACUUAUAAUGGGAUGUUAACCAGUAGCAUAAGCAGCAAGAAUACUCAUAUUCCAAAUGCUUCGCUGGAAUUCACGGUGAAUGAUACUGAUGGAACUCAGAUGUUACAUCAUCUUGCUAUUGCAUGCCAUGCUGUAUCUGAUUGUGUAAAGGAUUGCAAUGAUCUCAAAAGGAAUAUUGACGAGCAUGGUUUUUCAAUUGACCAGAAAGCAACAGAGUUAGCUGAAGUUAUGUCCAACUUGCAGAACAGAUUCACCUCCCAAAAUAACGAGUUGGAAUCAUUGAGAGAAAACAUUCUUGAACUACAGUCAGAGAUCAAAGAGAAGGAAGAGGAGAGUUCAUCAUUGCGUAGAAAUAUGAGUUUGCUUUACGAAGCAUGUACUAGUUCAGUUUCUGAGAUUGAAGGAAUGACUGGUAUGGGUUCUGGUACUGGGAGCUAUUCUGUUGUGCAGAACCAUUUAUUUUCAUAUGAUCAUAUAAAAUCAGUCGUCGAGCGGUUAGGUGCAGCCGUAAAGACUACUCAGUAUAGCAAUGAAGGGAACACAAAGGAACUAAAGGCUACUGUUCUUGAGUUGCAGCAGGAGCUUCAGGGAAAAGAUGUGCAAAUUAGCACAAUCAGUUCGGAGCUUGCAUCUCAGAUAAGGGAAGCUGAAUCUUAUGCGAAGCAGCUUUCUGUUGAGCUUGACGAUGCAAGAAUGCAAGUACACAAUUUGGAAGAACAUGUUGAGAUGUUGCUUAAUCAGAAGAAAGCUUUAGAGACCCAAGCAAGUGAGCUUAAAGAUUUGGAGACAGUGGCAAGUGAGCAGCAUGGAAGAAUAAAAGAGUUGACUGAUGAACUGAGCAGAAAAGACCAAGAGAUUGAAGGUUUGAUGCAAGCACUUGACGAAGAAGAAAAGGAGCUUGAAGUCUUGGAGAACAAAAGCAAUGACUUGGAGCAGAUGCUGCAAGAAAAAGAAUUUUCUUUGAAGAGCCUUGAAGAUUCUAGGACAAAAGCUCUGACUAAACUUGCAACCACUGUCGAGAAGUUUGACGAGUUGCAUAGCUUGUCUGAAAGUCUUCUUGCAGAAGUGGAAAGCCUUCAGUCACAAUUGCAAGAGAGAGAUUCAGAGAUCUCGUUUCUGCGCCAAGAAGUCACAAGGAGUACUAAUGAACUAUUAACCACUGAAGAUAGCAACAAGCAGUACUCAUCGCAGAUAAAUGAUUUUGUUAAGUGGUUAGAAACUGCGCUGAUGCAGUUUGGUGUGCAUUGUGAGAGCGCAGAUGACCAUGAUUACACUCAGGUUCCAGUAUAUAUGGACAUGUUGGACAAAAAAAUAGUGUCGUUGAUAUCUGAAUCAGAUGAAUUGAGGGUUGCUGUGCAAAGCAAAGAUUCUUCACUACAGGUCGAGAGGACCAAAAUGGAAGAGUUGUUGCGUAAAUCAGAGGCUCUAGAAGCUUCUUUGAGCCAAAAGGAUUCUCAGAUAGGGAUGCUUCGUCGAGACAGGACGAUGGGCCAACCUAGAUCUAUAAACUUGCCUGGCACUUCGGAGAUUGAGCAAAUGAAUGACAAAGUAAGCCCAGCUGCGGUUGUCACUCAGAUUCGAGGGGCACGGAAAGUCAACAACGACCAAGUUGCUAUUGAUGUAGAGAUGCACAAGGACAAACCAUUAGAUGAUGAAGAUGACGAUAAAGCGCAUGGUUUCAAGUCACUGACGAUGUCGCGCAUUGUUCCGAAGUUCACUCGACCUAUAUCAGACAGAAUCGACGGGAUGUGGGCAUCUGGUGAUAGAUUGCUCAUGAGACAACCAACCUUGAGACUUGGUGUCUUGAUAUACUGGAUAGCAUUGCAUGCAUUGCUUGUGAGUUUUAUUUGAAGGUUAUAUUUAAAGCUGUAGUGAUGGAUCUCCUUGGUGAGCCACUUACUGUACAGUGCCAUGUCUAUGACAAGCUAUGCAACACAAGCAAUCUAGUCAAAAUGCUGUCGAUUCUUUUUGAAGUUUGUUACUGAAUACCUGAACCAAAUGGUCAUCUGCGUAUCAUUUUUGUUGUGAAUCUUCCCCUUUCUUCUGCUGGAAUUGGUCCUGCCUCAGCUGGGUCCAACCCAAGACACAUGCACCGAAGGUACCGAUGAAACAGAACUGGAGAAAGCAGCAGCAGCAGCAGCAAAGAUCCCCUGUACAUAGUCUCAUUUUUUGUUUGCUCUAUUCUUUGCUUUUAGAAAGAUUGAGGGCAUCUUACAUGGUAGCAUCUACACUAUACAACACAGGUUUACAGAAGAAUGGUUGACAUGUACUGGUAGUUUUGAAAGCUAGGGUAUUGGGAUGGUAACAGCGUUUCCCCCUCUUAAAAGUUGACCCCCUGUAUUCUUAAGAAGUUUACUGUAUACAUGCAUGUGCAAUUGGAACACAGUAAUUGGUUUCAUUUCAUUGCCG